AAUCAACGCUGGCGGCGUGCCUCAGACAUGCAAGUCGAACGCGAAAGUUGCCUUCGGGCGGCAAGUAGAGUGGCGCACGGGUGAGUAACACGUGGGUAAUUUACCUCCGAGUGGGGAAUAACCAUUGGAAACGAUGGCUAAUACCGCAUAAUACCGUAAGGUCAAAGCUUUAUGUGCUUGGAGAGAAGCCCGCGGCGGAUUAGCUAGUUGGUAAGGUAAUGGCUUACCAAGGCGACGAUCCGUAUCCGGUCUAAGAGGACGGUCGGACACACUGACA
rnacentral:rRNA from 1 species